AUCGGGCGAGCCGGGCACUCUGGAGGGACUGCCGGCGACAAGCCGGAGGAAGGUGGGGAUGACGUCAAGUCAUCCAUGGCCCUUAGUGUCCAGGGCGACACACGUGCUACAAUGGCCGGCACAGUGGGAAGCGGAGGGGCGACCCUGAGCGGAUCCCUUGAAAGCCGGUCCCAGUUCGGAUUGCAGUCUGCAACUCGACUGCAUGAAGUUGGAAUCGCUAGUAAUCGCGGAUCAGCCAAGCCGCGGUGAAUACGUUCCCGGGCCUU
rnacentral:rRNA from 1 species